rnacentral:rRNA from 1 species
UUGCUCUUCAACGAGGAAUACCUAGUAAGCGUGAGUCAUCAGCUCGCGUUGAUUACGUCCCUGCCCUUUGUACACACCGCCCGUCGCUACUACCGAUUGAAUGGCUUAGUGAGGUCUUGGGAUUGGCUUCGGGGAGCCGGCAACGGCACCCUGUUGCUGAGAACUUGAUCAAACUUGGUCAUUUAGAGGAAGUAAAAGUCGUAACAAGGUUUCCGUAGGUGAACCUGCGGAAGGAUCAUUAAUGAAUUCUGAAAGGGGUUGUUGCUGGCCGUCAGCGGCAUGUGCACGCCCUGAUCAUUAUCCAUCUCACACACCUGUGCACACACUGUAGGUCGGUUUGUGGCUGGAGUGGGCACUCUGUGUCUGCUUUGGUUGUAGGCCUUCCUAUGUUUUAUUACAAACUACUUCAGUUUAAGGAAUGUCACUCUUGCGUCUAACGCAUUUAAAUACAACUUUCAGCAACGGAUCUCUUGGCUCUCGCAUCGAUGAAGAACGCAGCGAAAUGCGAUAAGUAAUGUGAAUUGCAGAAUUCAGUGAAUCAUCGAAUCUUUGAACGCACCUUGCGCUCCUUGGUAUUCCGAGGAGCAUGCCUGUUUGAGUGUCAUGGAAUUCUCAACUCUAUUUGCUUUUGUGAAUAGGGCUUGGACUUGGAGGUUUAUUGCCGGUACACCUGUGAUCGGCUCCUCUUGAAUGCAUUAGCUCGAACCUGUGUGGAUCAGCUAUCGGUGUGAUAAUUGUCUACGCCGUUGCUGUGAAGCAUGUUAAUGGGGGUCGGCUUCUAAUCGUCCUUUUACUUGGGGACAAUGACUUUGACCUUUUGACCUCAAAUCAGGUAGGAUUACCCGCUGAACUUAAGCAUAUCAAUAAGCGGAGGA